AUCUCAGGUGUCAUACACACAGUUCACACUGCUUUCAGUCUUUUUGUGAGAUUUUGUCCUUCCAUUUAUUAAUUUUUUGUUUUUGCAAUGGCUAAAACAUUGAUCAUGACUGUCAUCCUUUUGCUUUCUGUUGACUCUGUUGCAACAAGUGAAUUGGCAGCUACAGAAACUACAGCAGCUCCAACAACAACUACAGCAGCUCCAAUGACAACAAGUUCAGCAGCUCCAACCACAACAACAGGAGCACCAACCACAACCACGACAGUUCCAACCACAAUGACAGCAGCUCCUACCACAAUGACAGUGGCUCCUACCACAAACACAGCAGCUCCAACCACAACUACAGCAGCUCCAACCACAACUACAGCAGCUCCAACCACAACUACAGCAGCUCCAACCACAACUACAGCAGCUCCAACCACAACCACAGCAGCUCCAACCACAACUACAGCAGCAGCUCCAACAACUACAGAAGCUCCAAUGACAACAAGUUCAGCAGCUCCAACAACAAGUUCAACUGAUCCAACAAGUUCAACUGAUCCAACAACAAGUUCAACUGAUCCAACAACGACAAAUCCACCAACUCCAAUAACUACAGCAUCUCCAAUGACAACUAGAACAGCUCCAACUACGUCAACGACAGCAGCUUCAACAACUCUAGCAGCUCCAAUGACAACUACAGUAGCAGAAGGUGCGUGUGCUUCAAGCCCAUGCCUCUGUGGAAGCACCUGUGAAGAACGUGCUAACCCGACUUAUGUGUGCUUGUGUCUGGCUGGUGAAGCUUAUGGUCCUCGAGGCUGUCAAAAGGCCAAAGUCUUCCCUGGACUGCUAGUCUGGAAGAUAAAAUAUGAUCCUGAAAUGUGUGACAAAACAUCACAAAUAUUUAAAGAGACUUCAGAUAAAAUUAUUGAUUUGGUUGACAAAGAGUUUGAAAAUAAAACUGGACACAUUUCAUCUUUAGUGCUGGAGCUCUG